UACAGAGGGCCCAAGCGUUGCUCGGAAUCACUGGGCGUAAAGCGCACGUAGGCGGAUUGUUAAGUCAGGGGUGAAAUCCUGGAGCUCAACUCCAGAACUGCCUUUGAUACUGGCGAUCUUGAGUCCGGGAGAGGUGAGUGGAACUGCGAGUGUGGAGGUGAAAUUCGUAGAUAUUCGCAAGAACACCAGUGGCGAAGGCGGCUCACUGGCCCGGUACUGACGCUGAGGUGCGAAAGCGUGGGGAGCAAACAGG
rnacentral:rRNA from 1 species